rnacentral:lncRNA from 1 species
CCCAAAUCCAGGUCAGCUCCCCUCCUUUACACUCUAUAGGAGCUCGUUGUCGCUCUUGGACAAAUGUCCACAGAUGUGGCACAUGAGGCCCUUGACCCUUCCACCUCUCUGCUCCUUGCUCAGCACUUUGCUCCACGUUCCACAAUCAGGAACCUCCCCCAGUUUUUAGUAAGCCUCACACUCUCUCCUGCUCAGGGCCUUUGGUGCUGCCUUUUCCUCUGCUGGAACAUGGUCACACCUCUCAUCCUUAGGUGUCGGUUUAGGUAUAAACACCUGUGAGACAUCUCCUGGGAUUCCUACUGGUCUGGGUGAGAUCCAUUUUUUAUUUGCUUCCCUGACAUACUGAGUAUUUUCCCAUCAAAACACUUAUCAAACUAUUUUGCUAUUUUCCAACUCUAAUUUGCUUAUCUUUCCCCCCAGACCAGAGUUUCCACAAAAGUAGGGUCUAUAUCUAGCUCAUUUAUCUUUAUAGUCCCAGGGCUUAAAUAGGAGCUUUUGCCUGUGCUUUGAGCUUAAAAAGUAUUUGCAGAAAAGAAAACCACAGAAAGGACUCAAUGUCUAAUCUUAUUCCCCCAUGGUACAGAAGGAGAAACUGAGGCUCAGAAAGGGAUUGUGGAGACCAAGGCCCUGAAGCCUGUCCAUGGCUGAGUUGGAACUAGAGAGAUCUUUUUUUUGGGCUGGGGGAGGGGGGCAGUACCAGGGAUUGAACUCAGGAUCACUGGACCAUUAAGCCACAUCCUCAGCCCUAUUUUGUAUUUUAUUUAGAGACAGGGUCUCGCUGAGUUGCUUAGCACCUCGCUGUUGUUGAGGCUGGCUUUGCAAAAGCUUGAGAUCCUCCUGCCUCCACCUCCCGAGCUGCAGGGAUUACAGGUGUGUGCCAUCAUACCUGGUGGAACCAGGGAGUUCUGAGAGGCAUCUUCUGAUCAUCUUCUGGGCUUUGUUUGCUAUCUUGUCUAAGGAAUAAAAGAGUCUUAGAUUCUUGAUACUCCAAAGUGUGGUCUGCAGACUCACACCAUCAGCAGCACCAGGGACUUUGUUAGAUUUUUAGGCCCUGCCCUUGACCUGUUCAAUCUGUGGAAUUAGAAUCUUCAGUUUAACAAGAUCUACAGAUGUUUUGGAGACACAAUAAAGACUGAGAAGCACUGAUCUUGGUGCUUGCAGCUAGUUCGGUUUAAAAGUCCUUUCAAUUUCAUGGAAUCACCAAAGAAAACCUAGCCAAUAUCUUGGGGGCAUGCAGGGUGUGCUACAGAGGAAAGGUCACCGGUGUGGGCCCCUCACCUCCUUAGUUCUAGAAGGCUUAGAAAUCCAGAGCCUGGCCUGAUGGAGGGUAGAGGCUCCACUCCAGGUGAGCUGACUUGGUGAAGGAAAGGGCCUUGAAUAAAGGGAAACUUCCAGAAGCCUAGCCAUCUAGCCAGUCUGAUGUUGUAAAUUUCCAAACUUUUACCUGUUA